AACGAACGCUGGCGGCAGGCUUAACACAUGCAAGUCGAGCGCCCCGCAAGGGGAGCGGCAGACGGGUGAGUAACGCGUGGGAAUCUACCCAUCUCUACGGAAUAACGCAUGGAAACGUGUGCUAAUACCGUAUACGUCCUUCGGGAGAAAGAUUUAUCGGAGAUGGAUGAGCCCGGGUUGGAUUAGCUAGUUGGUGGGGUAAAGGCCUACCAAGGCGACGAUCCAUAGCUGGUCUGAGAGGAUGAUCAGCCACACUGGGACUGAGACACGGCCCAGACUCCUACGGGAGGCAGCAGUGGGGAAUAUUGGACAAUGGGCGCAAGCUUGAUCCAGCCAUGCCGCGUGAGUGAUGAAGGCCCUAGGGUUGUAAAGCUCUUUCACCGGUGAAGAUAAUGACGGCAACCGGAGAAGAAGCCCCGGCUAACUUCGUGCCAGCCGCCGCCGUAACAC
rnacentral:rRNA from 1 species